GCGAACUGGUGAGUAACACGUGGGAAACCUGCCCAGAAGCGGGGGAUAACACCUGGAAACAGAUGCUAAUACCGCAUAACAACUUGGACCGCAUGGUCCGAGUUUGAAAGAUGGCUUCGGCUAUCACUUUUGGAUGGUCCCGCGGCGUAUUAGCUAGAUGGUGGGGUAACGGCUCACCAUGGCAAUGAUACGUAGCCGACCUGAGAGGGUAAUCGGCCACAUUGGGACUGAGACACGGCCCAAACUCCUACGGGAGGCAGCAGUAGGGAAUCUUCCACAAUGGACGAAAGUCUGAUGGAGCAACGCCGCGUGAGUGAAGAAGGGUUUCGGCUCGUAAAACUCUGUUGUUAAAGAAGAACAUAUCUGAGAGUAACUGUUCAGGUAUUGACGGUAUUUAACCAGAAAGCCACGGCUAACUACGUGCCAGCAGCCGCGGUAAUACGUAGGUGGCAAGCGUUGUCCGGAUUUAUUGGGCGUAAAGCGAGCGCAGGCGGUUUUUUAAGUCUGAUGUGAAAGCCUUCGGCUCAACCGAAGAAGUGCAUCGGAAACUGGGAAACUUGAGUGCAGAAGAGGACAGUGGAACUCCAUGUGUAGCGGUGAAAUGCGUAGAUAUAUGGAAGAACACCAGUGGCGAAGGCGGCUGUCUGGUCUGUAACUGACGCUGAGGCUCGAAAGUAUGGGUAGCAAACAGGAUUAGAUACCCUGGUAGUCCAUACCGUAAACGAUGAAUGCUAAGUGUUGGAGGGUUUCCGCCCUUCAGUGCUGCAGCUAACGCAUUAAGCAUUCCGCCUGGGGAGUACGGCCGCAAGGCUGAAACUCAAAGGAAUUGACGGGGGCCCGCACAAGCGGUGGAGCAUGUGGUUUAAUUCGAAGCUACGCGAAGAACCUUACCAGGUCUUGACAUACUAUGCAAAUCUAAGAGAUUAGACGUUCCCUUCGGGGACAUGGAUACAGGUGGUGCAUGGUUGUCGUCAGCUCGUGUCGUGAGAUGUUGGGUUAAGUCCCGCAACGAGCGCAACCCUUAUUAUCAGUUGCCAGCAUUAAGUUGGGCACUCUGGUGAGACUGCCGGUGACAAACCGGAGGAAGGUGGGGAUGACGUCAAAUCAUCAUGCCCCUUAUGACCUGGGCUACACACGUGCUACAAUGGAUGGUACAACGAGUUGCGAACUCGCGAGAGUAAGCUAAUCUCUUAAAGCCAUUCUCAGUUCGGAUUGUAGGCUGCAACUCGCCUACAUGAAGUCGGAAUCGCUAGUAAUCGCGGAUCAGCAUGCCGCGGUGAAUACGUUCCCGGGCCUUGUACACACCG
rnacentral:rRNA from 2 species